CUUCUCAAAGUGUACUUUUCAAAUAUGAGUUGGUAACUAUAGGGCAUUUGAGAGUGAUCAUUGUAAUUAUAGUAAUCAGAACUUUUCAGUUUAGUCAAGAAUCUGGACAAAGGAAUCAGUCAUAUCUGUACCUUCUGCAGUUCCAACAGCUUAUGUAAUGUACAUGAUUAGGCUUUGCCCACUUAGUGUUCAGUUCAUUCUUGUGAGACUCGUGGAAAAUUCAGAUUCUUCGGUGGGAUGUGAUGAACUGUGUAAGGGCAAAUGUUAAUUGGAGAAAGUGAAUGCUUAGCUUGAAUCGUUUUUGAAUUGCUUUGGAAACUCAUGUAUUUUUAAACUUGGUGUUUACUUGAACUGUUGGUAUUCAUUUAAGUAUUUACCCAUCACAUGAUAACUGCCUUCCAUCAGAUCCCAACUGUGAUUGGUAGCAGACAGAUAGACUUUAACUAACUCUUCUCUUGUUGCUUUUUUUCCCCCCUAAAUUUCUGGAAGACUAGAGAUAUAAAGCACUGUAUGUUUCUGUGAGAAUUUCA
ensembl:lncRNA novel transcript, sense intronic to TTC3